UGGGGAAUUUUGGACAAUGGGCGAAAGCCUGAUCCAGCAAUGCCGCGUGUGUGAAGAAGGCCUUCGGGUUGUAAAGCACUUUUGUCCGGAAAGAAAUCCUUGGCUCUAAUACAGUCGGGGGAUGACGGUACCGGAAGAAUAAGCACCGGCUAACUACGUGCCAGCAGCCGCGGUAAUACGUAGGGUGCAAGCGUUAAUCGGAAUUACUGGGCGUAAAGCGUGCGCAGGCGGUUUGCUAAGACCGAUGUGAAAUCCCUGGGCUUAACCUGGGAACUGCAUUUGUGACUGGCGGGCUAGAGUAUGGCAGAGGGGGGUAGAAUUCCACGUGUAGCAGUGAAUGCGUAGAGAUGUGGAGGAAUACCGAUGGCGAAGGCAGCCCCCUGGGCCAAUACUGACGCUCAUGCACGAAAGCGUGGGGAGCAAACAGGAUUAGAUACCCUGGUAGUCCACGCCCUAAACGAUGUCAACUAGUUGUCGGGUCUUCAUUGACUUGGUAACGUAGCUAACGCGUGAAGUUGACCGCCUGGGGAGUACGGUCGCAAGAUUAAAAACUCAAAUGAAUU
rnacentral:rRNA from 1 species